UACGAAGGGGGCUAGCGUUGUUCGGAAUCACUGGGCGUAAAGGGCGCGUAGGCGGCUUUAUAAGUCGGGGGUGAAAGCCUGUGGCUCAACCACAGAAUUGCCUUCGAUACUGUAGAGCUUGAGACCGGAAGAGGUAAGUGGAACUGCGAGUGUAGAGGUGAAAUUCGUAGAUAUUCGCAAGAACACCAGUGGCGAAGGCGGCUUACUGGUCCGGUUCUGACGCUGAGGUGCGAAAGCGUGGGGAGCAAACAGG
rnacentral:rRNA from 1 species